AUGAGGGAGGCUCCGUGGGUGUGGGACCCUCCUGGCCAGGUGUGGGAUAUGAUCUCCUGGUGUGCCUGUUUGUUUAAAGCGCAGUAUUGGGGUGGGAGUUACCCGAUUUUCCAGGUGUUGUGUGUCUCAGUUCCCCUGGCUAGGAAAAGGGAUUCCCUUCCCCCUUGCGCUUCCCAGGUGAGGCAAUGCCUCGCCCUGCUUCAGCUCUCGCUGGUCGGGCUGCAGCAGCUGACCAGCACCGAUCGUCUGGCACUCUCCAGUGAGAUGAACCCAGAACCUCAGUUGAAAAUGCAGAAAUCACUGGUCUUCUGUGUCGCUCGCUCUGGGAGUUGGAGACUGGAGCUCCAGAUUUCAGUUUUAAAAGUCAUCUCUUCAGGGAAACCUCUAUUUUCUCAUCUGUGUGCAAUAGAUGCAGCCUUCUGCAGAGGUGAGGAGUUGUUUUCGUCUCUCCAGCUUAUAUUCUGCAACCACUGAAUAAAGAGUAGCCCAGAAAGAAUUACAAUCUCAUAGGCACUGAUAUAGCAGUGCUAAGAAGAGAUGACAUAACUCAGCUUUAGACUGCACCCUCAAGAAAUCAUGUUGAAUUUCACAACAGGUAAGCAUCUUGACAAAUCCUUCUGAGUAUGAUGAAAGCAGCUUGCAAAAAUAGCAUGAGAGUACAUCCUGGAUAACAUCUCAGAUACAUCAAUUUUGUUCCAGGGACCUUUACAGCCCUGCACUUAACUGGAGGUACAGCAAGGUACUUCUUCAACCACAUCAUUGAUCCUACUAAGCCCAGACAAAUAAUCUUUUUUUAUGCCCAAUUUAACUAUUGUUUAAAGGUUUAAUAUUAUACUUUUUUACUUUGGAAAUUUUGUCAACUGUAUAUUGAUUUACAUAGAA
rnacentral:lncRNA from 10 species